UGUUUUUGGCGGUUCUACAAUGACCCCUUGUGAGGACUUAGCUUUGAUGUACAAUGAAUCUUCCUCUUCCAUGGCUGCUGGCAGCCUAUCCUCUUUGAUACCAAUCAUUACCUGAUCUAGAUCAUUAGUUGAGGUGCUACCAAGGCUUUGCAUUCUUGAUGCCACGGUUGGUCUGGUGAGUCCAUUGAUGAGAGCAAUGAACUGCGCUUCCUUUUCUGCAUCGGAUGAGCGUGCAACAAGGAAGUGCACAUUGUGCUCAUCAUCUUUAGCAGAGAAAAGGUCAGCUCAUUCCAGGACAUGUCCCGGUUAAUCUGAACCAGAUGCCUCUCACCGCCGACAUAGCGGAGCUCUCCGUCACUUGGCCUUGGUCCAGUACCUUCAAUCUGGAGUCCUGCAAGGUCAUAAGAGGAACACAAUCCUUGAGCACUGAGUUUCUUCAGGCUGGGAGUAGGGCGCACAAGAUUAACAUGAAACGUUACAGAAAAAUUUAUUGGGCUUAUCAAAGUGGAAGAGCAUGCAACAAGAAAGCAGAAGAGAGGUUACUGACCUGAGCUCUGUGGGUUUCAGCUGACGGGCUGCUACUAGUGCUCAGAGCUUAAUGGGGGACACUGUUUUGCUUCAGCUGUGUUGGAGCCGAGCUGCUAAUAUGGACGGCUGAGCCGAGGUCAAUUUGGGAUGAUUGUUUUGGCAUAAGAGUGGACAGGAGUUGUUGCCUGACUCAUCUGUGACUGAUUAUUAGAUCGAGAGAGGCAUUUCAUUGAUUGGUCGGCAAUGGCUACCUUCAGUCACGCACUUGGAAGAUGACGGAGGGAGAGCAACAGUUUUAAAUAAAGGCAUUGGCACAUGACCGGGGGCAAGGGGCGGCUCUUAAUAAUGCAUGGUCUCAGUCUGUCAUUAUUGGUUUGUGCGAUGUGGCCGGCGUUGCUCAUGUUGGCCGGUGACGUUGACUCCUCUCCAAGCAUAAU